rnacentral:rRNA from 1 species
UACAGAGGGUGCGAGCGUUAAUCGGAAUUACUGGGCGUAAAGGGUGCGUAGGUGGACUGUUAAGUCAGAUGUGAAAUCCCCGGGCUUAACCUGGGAAUGGCAUUUGUAACUGGCAGUCUAGAGUGCAGAAGAGAGAAGUGGAAUUCCCGGUGUAGUGGUGAAAUGCGUAGAUAUCGGGAGGAACACCAGUGGCGAAGGCGACUACCUGGCCUGUUCUUGACGCUGAGGCG